AUUUCCUAAGAAAGAUAGAGAAGUUGCUCACCUUUUUUUUUGUUUGUUUGGUACUGGGGAUCAAACUCCAGACCUUGUGCUUGCGAGGCAGGCGCUGGAACCACUGAGCUGAAUCCCCACCCCUCACCUUGUUUUUCAGUGGGAAUACAGAGUCAUGGUAAUGUGAGUAAAAGUUGGAUGACUGGUCAUUUGCCUCAGAAAUAGCCCCAGCGUGGGAAAUGAAAAAUGUCAGAAGAGAUUUCUCCUGUGACCUAGGGCUCCAUUGGCCAUGUAGGCGUCUCUGUGAGGUCUGUGCCUCUCCCCCUCCUUACUUUAGGUCCAGUGGGACCUUGGUUCCUUAAAGACAGAUGGAAUAACCACAUGUGAAAAACUACAGGAUGUUAGCAUACUCGAGAGAUCUGGAAAAACAAUAAUGACUGGGAAGAAGAAAUGAACUCCUGGCACUUCUGGCGUUAGGAAGUGUUGUCCUGAAGCUUCUCCUGCCUGAAACCAAAGCCAAACACAUGGUAAGGUUAAGUGUUAAAUACAGAGUAGGGCUACAAAGGUGGGUAAAAGAAUGUAGGCAUUGAACCUGAAGAAGCUGUCACAGGAUAAAACAGCUAUGAACUUGAAUGCUUGAAAGACAAUCCCCAAUUGUUUAGAAUAACAAAUCUCCAGGGCAGGAAAGCUUGGCCUGAAAAAGUCAGUACCAUGGCUACUCAGAAUAUGGAAGGUUUGGUGUAAAAGAUGGCGUAUUCCCCUGGGGUUGGGGUGGGAUCUGUAACCAUUUGCCAAAAGAUGGGUGGGAGCAGUGCAUACCUUUCAGUUACAUCACAGGUGCUGUGCUCCCCAUGGGGGAGCCCUGUGCUGAAGGCAUGGUCCCCAGCCAGUGGCUCUGUUUUAGAGGUGAGGCCCUCUGGAAGGAUGCUGGCCUCAGGGAAUGUGCCCUUCCUCUCUGCUUCCUGGCCACCAGGACCUAAGCUGCUUUUCGCCACUGUGUGCCCUCCAGGGUGUUCUGCUUCACCAUAGGCUCCCAGCAAGAAAGCAGUCUAACCAUGGAGAAAACCUCUGAAACUGUGAGUCAAAGUAAACAUUUGGUUUGAUUUUUUUCAGGUGUUUGUUACAGGAAUGGAAAGCUGUCACAAUAACUUUUCUUCCAAACUCAAUUACCUUGAUAAAUGCAGGCCAGCAGAUAUUUCUGAUACCUUGCUAUGCUCACUGGGAGUUAUUUAUAAAUCAUGGUUCCUACAUGCUAAACCUUUCCUGUUUUAAAAACAGUCAUUAAUAACAGAGUAUACUUUUUUUGUAAAUACUCUUCUGUAGCUCUGUUGAGUUUUUACUAUACAUUGAGCACUAGACACUGUCUCACUUCAUCCUUCUAUAAUCUUUUAUAUAGGUUAAGAAAUGAGCUUUACGAAGUCAAAGGCUGAAUUGGGGGAAGUGGAUGACUGGUCACAGAAUAAGGCAGCUGUCACCCUGUGAACUUGAAUGGUUGAGGAAAACAAUCCCAGAAUUAGAUUAGAGGAUGACCCCAGCAAGCCUGCAGGCCUGUUGCCUCCAGAGGUGGAGACCAUUUAGGUAGGUGGGACAGGAGAAUCACACCCAGCCCUGGAGGCAGUGUGUCUUACCUUGCUGCUGGAGCCCAAGGCCUGUUGUCCUGCAGGAGACAGCUCAGGAACUGACAGGCCCUUCCCCUAAUGUCAUCCUCAGAAUUGGCAUAUAGUCACCACUGUACUGACUCAAGGACCCAGGCUUCCAAAGGAUGUGUACAGACUUCCAUCAUGGCCUCUGUCAAGAGGUCAUUCAUCACUGAUGGAUCAGGCUGGGCACUCGGAGAGCACAGGCUGUCUUUUGGCCUGCGUCUCUCAGUGCUAAGUCCUGAGUGCCCAGUAAAUGUGUAUGGAGUGAACGUCUGCACUUUCACUUCCAUGGUAAAUACUAAACACCUGGACAAAGCCACAAUAUAUCCUGUUCCUAAAAGCUUAUUUCUAACAGCUUUCUUAUAUGUUUGGUUUGGCCCGUGAUAAGACGUAAGUGUUUUUCUGCCGUCUUCUGCUGUCAUCAUCACUUGUAAAUCCUUUCCGUUUUCAAGGACAGAUGACAGGGACCAUCCAGGCAGCCUCCACACUGAGGGAACUGCUACCCAACAAGCUUCCGGCCACAAACCAGGAAUCCCGAAACAGAGCCAGAGUUACCUUCCAAGCAGCUCAGAAUAGAAGCGUAAGGUGCUUUUGUUAGCAGAGAGGAAAAUUUGCAAACUUGAUUUUAAAAAGCAAGACUUGGGCCGGGGGUUUAACUCAGUAGUUCCGCUGCCUGCCUCGCAAGUGCAAGGACCCGAGUUCGAUCCCCAGUAAAAAAAAAAAAAGCAAGACUCACCUCCAGGAAGUGGGAGAGCUCGUUGUUGAUGAGUUCCUUAAGUUCGGAUUUCUUCAGCUUGUGCUUGUCACCUUCCCUUCCAGAGUACUGAUGGAAAACCUCAAUGAGGGCCACCACAGCCUUCUCCAGCUCAGACAUCCUACAGUCCACAGAGAAGAAAUGCCUCCUCAUGCUCUCUGCCUCGUAUGCCCAUGGUGUGCUUACGUGUUACCGCCCAGACCUCAGCCCAGUGAGGGGCUGCUCGCCGCCCUGGCAGGGCUCCAAGAUGAAGUGGUAGAAGGCAGAUGACUGGAUUUGGAGCAGGAAGAUGUGAGGACCUUGGCAUUCAAAAAGAGGAAAACUGGAAAACCGGGACACAGUUACCCAGAGCCAUAGAAGAGGGAACUAGGAGAAAUGAAAAUGUUGGGCCUAACCUGGUGUUGUGCUCAGUCCUCAACAUCAUCCCUCAACCCUGGAGAGAAGCAAAUCUUUUUUUUUUUUUGUAUCAGGGAUCGAACUCGAGUCCUUGCACUUGCAAGGCAGAUGGUGGAUCCACUGAGCUAAAUCCCCGGCCCAGAAGCAAAUCUUUGAAGAGAAGAAGCAGUGUUUGUGCGAAAAUGUCGUCUGAGCCACUAGACCUGGGGUUUGACUGAUUUAUGGUAAUAAAAUCUGCAAAUGCAUCUCUA